AGCGAACGCUGGCGGCGUACUUAACACAUGCAAGUCGAACGGGGAUCGUCAGUGUAGCAAUACAUCGGCGGUUCUAGUGGCGCACGGGUGAGUAACACGUGGGUAACCUGCCCUUGAGUUCGGGAUACCCUUUCGAAAGGAAGGCUAAUACCGGAUACGUUCCUCGGAUUGCCAAAUCUGGGGAGGAAAGGUGGCGCAAGCUGCCGCUCUUGGAGGGGCUCGCGGCCUAUCAGCUAGNGGUGAGGUAACGGCUCACCAAGGCUUCGAUCAGUAGCCGUCCUGAGAGGGAGCACGGCCACACUGGAACUGAGACACGGUCCAGACUCCUACGGGAGGCAGCAGUGGGAAUUUUUGGCAAUGGGCGAAAGCCUGACCAAGCAACGCCGCGUGGGUGAUGAAGUAUCUUGGUACGUAAAACCCUUUCGGCAGGGACGAACUCAAUGACGGUACCUGCGGAAGAAGCCCGGCUAACUCCGUGCCAGCCGCCGCAGUAAC
rnacentral:rRNA from 1 species